rnacentral:rRNA from 1 species
UACGAAGGGUGCAAGCGUUAAUCGGAAUUACUGGGCGUAAAGGGUGCGUAGGCGGUUGUUUAAGUCUGUCGUGAAAUCCCCGGGCUCAACCUGGGAAUGGCGAUGGGUACUGGGCAGCUAGAGUGUGUCAGAGGAUGGUGGAAUUCCCGGUGUAGCGGUGAAAUGCGUAGAGAUCGGGAGGAACAUCAGUGGCGAAGGCGGCCAUCUGGGACAACACUGACGCUGAAGCACGAAAGCGUGGGGAGCAAACAGG